UACAGAGGGGGCAAGCGUUGUUCGGAAUUACUGGGCGUAAAGGGCGCGUAGGCGGCCUUCUAAGUCGAACGUGAAAUCCCCGGGCUCAACCCGGGAACUGCGUCCGAUACUGGAAGGCUUGAAUCCGGGAGAGGGAUGUGGAAUUCCAGGUGUAGCUGUGAAAUGCGUAGAUACCUGGAGGAACACCGGUGGCGAAGGCGACAUCCUGGACCGGUAUUGACGCUGAGGCGCGAAAGCCAGGGGAGCAAACGGG
rnacentral:rRNA from 1 species